UUUCGGGAUUAACAAUCUCUUUUUAUUAGUGAAAAUUUUAAGUAAUUCAAAAUCUAGCGAUAUCACAAUACCUCUUCAUUAAUGAGUUCCUUCUGAUUAAAUACCAUUAGUAAAAUCAUGUUAAUCUUUGAGAUUUUUGAUUAAUUAACAAAAUUAAGGAACUUAUAUGUCAAGCAUUAAUACAGGUAUUGUUAAGUGGUUUAACGCGGAUAAAGGUUUUGGGUUUAUUUCACCCAAAAAUGGUAGUCAGGAUGUGUUUGUUCAUUAUUCUGCCAUUCAGGGUAAUGACUAUAAAACCCUCCAUGAAGGGCAGGAAGUGAAUUUUUCAGUCGAAAGCGGCCAUAAAGGACCUUCUGCAACUAAUGUGAUAGCGUUAUCG
rnacentral:sRNA from 1 species